rnacentral:lncRNA from 1 species
AGCAUGUUCUAGAGCAUGAGAACAAAGAGAUGACUGAAAACAGUGUUUGUCCUCAUAAAGUCCCUAGUCCAGCAACAGAACUCAGUACCAGGUGGCCCGUGGCUGUCCGUCCCUCUCAGCCCAUUUGGAGGUGACUCUUGCUUCUCUCUUGAUGGAUCAGCUUUCACUGCCCACCCCCAGGGACAUGACCAAAGAGGUUCCUCCUCUCUACCCCUAAGCGGUGAGUCCAUAGGCUCCCUGGAGAGUUCAGUCAUCUCUUCUGGAGCAAGUCACCUAGCAGCAGUGAACCUCCAUUUCUUUAUCUCAAAAAUGGGAGUCAAUAAUCCCUGCCUUAUUGAUGUCACUGGAUUGUCAUAAAAAUGACAUCAUUAUGUAAAGGUCUUUGUAACCUGCCACGUACUCUAUAAUGAUGAGAUACUCCUUAUAUUAAACCAAAGAAAGAAAUGACUCUGCUAAAGAUGGAAUUUUAGACAUCAAAUUAGAACUGAGAGACACUCAAAGAUUCUGGACUGUCUUCUGAGCAGAGAAUAAAAAGUAGCUAUCAUCUGCCCACCACAGACAUGAAAAAACAAGAAAGACAGUUUGCAGAGAGGAGAGAAUGAAACAGGACUGUAGAGAGAAGCAGAGACAAGAAAUGGAUCUUCCCAUCUCGUCAUGAGCUUCCACUUCCAGGCUUUGAGUUCCUUGUAUCUAAUUCAUCUUUGUAACCCAGCACCUAGCACUGGCCUGAAAAGUAGGAGACACUCCAUACAUAUUUUUUGAUUGAAUCAUCAGGUUACUGCUUGGCUUAUAACUCCUCACUGGCUCCUGAUUGCCUGCGGAAUAAGAUUCACACUGUUUCAGCCUGGGCAACAUAGUGAUACUCCAUUUCUACAAAAACAUUAAAAAAUUAGCUGGGUAUU